GACGAACGCUGGCGGCGUGCCUAAUACAUGCAAGUCGAACGCAGUGGGGACGGGUGAGUAACACGUGGGUAACCUCCCAUCAGAGGGGAUAACACUUGGAAACAGGUGCUAAACCGCUACUGAUGGAUGAACCCGCGGUGCAUUAGCUAGUUGGUGAGGUAACGGUUCACCAAGGCCACGAUGCAUAGCCGGCAUGAGAGGGUGAUUGGCCCCCGUGGGCCUGAGACCCGGCCCAGACUCCUACGGGAGGGAGCAGUAGGGAAUCUUCGGCAAUGGACGCAAGGAUGAUCGAGCAACGCCGCGUGAGUGAAGAAGGUUUUCGGAUCGUAAAACUCUGGUGUUAGAUGAGCGGUAUAUAACCAGAAAGCCACGUCUAACUACGUGCCAGCAGCCGCGGUAAUAC
rnacentral:rRNA from 1 species